UACGUAGGUGGCGAGCGUUGUCCGGAUUUAUUGGGUUUAAAGGGUGCGUAGGCGGUCCUAUAAGUCAGUGGUGAAUUAUCGCAGCUCAACUGUGAGGGUGCCAUUGAUACUGUAGGACUUGAGUGAAUUUGAGGUAGGCGGAAUUGACGGUGUAGCGGUGAAAUGCUUAGAUAUCGUCAAGAACACCGAUAGUGAAGACAGCUUACCAAGCUUCAACUGACGCUGAGGCACGAAAGUGUGGGGAUCAAACAGG
rnacentral:rRNA from 1 species